UACGUAGGGUGCGAGCGUUGUCCGGAAUUAUUGGGCGUAAAGAGCUCGUAGGCGGCCUGUCGCGUCGGAUGUGAAAGCCCGGGGCUCAACCCCGGGUCUGCAUUCGAUACGGGCAGGCUGGAGUGUGGUAGGGGAGAUCGGAAUUCCUGGUGUAGCGGUGAAAUGCGCAGAUAUCAGGAGGAACACCAAUGGCGAAGGCAGAUCUCUGGGCCGUAACUGACGCUGAGGAGCGAAAGCAUGGGGAGCGAACAGG
rnacentral:rRNA from 1 species